AAAUAGUAAUUAACAUUAGUUAGGGUUCACUAUUUCACUUCACUUUUGGCUUCUGAGUUCCGACUUCCAACUGCCGACUACGUCUACUGCUGCUCAUCCGUGUCCUAUUGUCGCUGAUCCGCCGACCUUCACUAUUACUCCGUUGGCCACUGCUUAGUCUGCACUUUGCCAAUCCCUUGUUUCUUCUUCUUCUUCUACUGGUUCAACCAUGCCUCGCAAUCGUAAAGCUAGAUCGCCUAUUUGGGAACAUUUUGAGAUUGUUAAAGAAAAUGAAGGGCGCAAAGCUAAGUGCAUUCAUUGUAGUCGAAUUUAUAAUUUUAAUCCGAAGGUUAAUGGAACUUUUUCUUUAAUGAAACAUAUUAAGAAGAAGUGUCUCCUCCUUCAUCUAAGGUUGGAGAUUCGUAUUUAACUAUUUAAGUAUGGUUGUAGCACUUGGUGUUAUUUGGUGACCUUUUACCAAACUUAUUUUGUGGCUUUUGUGAUAGUCACUAUUUUGUUAGACUUAUUAUGGCUUUUGUGAUAGUCACUAUUAUGUAUUUAAGACUUUAAGUUGCCAUAUAUUGUGUUGGAGUUUUGAUGGAUGAAAACGUUUCUGCCCAGUUAUUGUUUGAUCAAAUGUUUCUGCCUA